rnacentral:rRNA from 1 species
UCAGUUGUGAAAGUUUGCGGCUCAACCGUAAAAUUGCAGUUGAUACUGUCAGUCUUGAGUACAGUAGAGGUGGGCGGAAUUCGUGGUGUAGCGGUGAAAUGCUUAGAUAUCACGAAGAACUCCGAUUGCGAAGGCAGCUCACUGGACUGCAACUGACACUGAUGCUCGAAAGUGUGGGUAUCAAACAGGAUUAGAUACCCUGGUAGUCCACACAGUAAACGAUGAAUACUCGCUGUUUGCGAUAUACAGUAAGCGGCCAAGCGAAAGCAUUAAGUAUUCCACCUGGGGAGUACGCCGGCAACGGUGAAACUCAAAGGAAUUGACGGGGGCCCGCACAAGCGGAGGAACAUGUGGUUUAAUUCGAUGAUACGCGAGGAACCUUACCCGGGCUUAAAUUGCAGUGGAAUGAUGUGGAAACAUGUCAGUGAGCAAUCACCGCUGUGAAGGUGCUGCAUGGUUGUCGUCAGCUCGUGCCGUGAGGUGUCGGCUUAAG